UACGUAGGGUGCGAGCGUUAAUCGGAUUUACUGGGCGUAAAGCGUGCGCAGGCGGCCCGUUAAGACAGGUGUGAAAUCCCUGGGCUCAACCUAGGAAUUGCGCUUGUGACUGGCGGGCUCGAGUACGGUAGAGGGGGGUGGAAUUCCUGGUGUAGCAGUGAAAUGCGUAGAUAUGCGGAGGAACACCGAUGGCGAAGGCAAUCCCCUGGGCCUGCACUGACGCUCAUGCACGAAAGCGUGGGGAGCAAACAGG
rnacentral:rRNA from 1 species